rnacentral:miRNA from 1 species
UGAGGCAGGAGAAUUGCUUGAACCCAGGAGGUGGAGGUUGCAGUGAGCCAAGAUCGAGCCACUGUACUCCAGCCUGGGCGACAGAGCGAGA